rnacentral:rRNA from 1 species
GACGAACGCUGGCGGCGUGCUUAACACAUGCAAGUCGAACGGAAAGGCCCUGCUUUUGUGGGGUGCUCGAGUGGCGAACGGGUGAGUAACACGUGAGUAACCUGCCCUUGACUUUGGGAUAACUUCAGGAAACUGGGGCUAAUACCGGAUAGGAGCUCCUGCUGCAUGGUGGGGGUUGGAAAGUUUCGGCGGUUGGGGAUGGAUUCGCGGCUUAUCAGCUUGCUGGUGGGGUAGUGGCUUACCAAGGCUUUGACGGGUAGGCGGCCUGAGAGGGUGACCGGCCACAUUGGGACUGAGGUACGGCCCAGACUCCUACGGGAGGCAGCAGUGGGGAAUAUUGCACAAUGGUCGGAAGCCUGAGACAGCAACGCCGCGUGCGUGAUGACGGCCUUCGGGUUGUAAACCGCUUUCGCCUGUGACGAAGCGUGAGUGACGGUAAUGGGUAAAGAAGCACCGGCUAACUACGUG